AUGAACGCUGGCGGCGUGCUUAACACAUGCAAGUCGAACGGAGCACCCCUGACGGAGUUUUCGGACAACGAAAGGGAAUGCUUAGUGGCGGACGGGUGAGUAACGCGUGAGUAACCUGCCUUGGAGUGGGGAAUAACAGCCGGAAACGGCUGCUAAUACCGCAUGAUGUAUCUGGAUCGCAUGGUUCUGGAUACCAAAGAUUUAUCGCUCUCGGAUGUGCCCAGAUGGGAUUAGCUAGUAGGUGGGGUAACGGCUCACCUAGGCGACGAUCCCUAGCUGGUCUGAGAGGAUGACCAGCCACACUGGAACUGAGACACGGUCCAGACUCCUACGGGAGGCAGCAGUGGGGAAUAUUGGGCAAUGGGCGAAAGCCUGACCCAGCAACGCCGCGUGAAGGAAGAAGGCCCUCGGGUUGUAAACUUCUUUUGUCAGGGACGAAGCAAGUGACGGUACCUGACGAAUAAGCCACGGCUAACUACGUGCCAGCAGCCGCGGUAAUACGUAGGUGGCAAGCGUUAUCCGGAUUUACUGGGUGUAAAGGGCGUGUAGGCGGGAGUGCAAGUCAGAUGUGAAAACUAUGGGCUCAACCCAUAGCCUGCAUUUGAAACUGUACUUCUUGAGUGAUGGAGAGGCAGGCGGAAUUCCCUGUGUAGCGGUGAAAUGCGUAGAUAUAGGGAGGAACACCAGUGGCGAAGGCGGCCUGCUGGACAUUAACUGACGCUGAGGCGCGAAAGCGUGGGGAGCAAACAGGAUUAGAUACCCUGGUAGUCCACGCCGUAAACGAUGGAUACUAGGUGUGGGGGGUCUGACCCCCUCCGUGCCGCAGUUAACACAAUAAGUAUCCCACCUGGGGAGUACGAUCGCAAGGUUGAAACUCAAAGGAAUUGACGGGGGCCCGCACAAGCGGUGGAGUAUGUGGUUUAAUUCGAAGCAACGCGAAGAACCUUACCAGGACUUGACAUCCUACUAACGAAGCAGAGAUGCAUAAGGUGCCCUUCGGGGAAAGUAGAGACAGGUGGUGCAUGGUUGUCGUCAGCUCGUGUCGUGAGAUGUUGGGUUAAGUCCCGCAACGAGCGCAACCCUUAUUGUUAGUUGCUACGCAAGAGCACUCUAGCGAGACUGCCGUUGACAAAACGGAGGAAGGUGGGGACGACGUCAAAUCAUCAUGCCCCUUAUGUCCUGGGCCACACACGUACUACAAUGGCGGUCAACAGAGGGAAGCAAAGCCGCGAGGUGGAGCAAAUCCCUAAAAGCCGUCCCAGUUCGGAUUGCAGGCUGAAACUCGCCUGUAUGAAGUCGGAAUCGCUAGUAAUCGCGGAUCAGCAUGCCGCGGUGAAUACGUUCCCGGGCCUUGUACACACCGCCCGUCACACCAUGAGAGUCGGGAACACCCGAAGUCCGUAGCCUAACAGCAAUGGGGGCGCGGCCGAAGGUGGGUUCGAUAAUUGGGGUG
rnacentral:rRNA from 1 species